rnacentral:rRNA from 1 species
UACGUAGGGUCCGAGCGUUUGUCCGGAAUUAUUGGGCGUAAAGGGCUCGUAGGCGGUCUGUCACGUCGGGAGUGAAAACUUACAGCUUAACUGUGAGCGUGCUUCCGAUACGGGCAGACUUGAGGUAUUCAGGGGAGAACGGAAUUCCUGGUGUAGCGGUGAAAUGCGCAGAUAUCAGGAGGAACACCGGUGGCGAAGGCGGUUCUCUGGGAAUAUCCUGACGCUGAGGAGCGAAAGUGUGGGGAGCGAACAGG